GAGAGUUAAACAGUACGUGAAAUUGUUGAAAGGGAAACGAUUGAAGCCAGUCGUACCUUCGGGUAAUCAGCCUUUCGGGUGCGAUUAUGUGGAGUGUGAGGAGCUUAAACACCUUCAUGUUUUGCAUAUUCGUACUCUUGGGUGUACUUGCCCGUAUGGUUGGUUAACAUCAAUUUUGGUGGUCAUAAAAUGACUGGAGGAAUGUAGCUUCGAUCUCGUAUUGAAGUGUUAUAGCCUUCGGUAGAUGUGAUGAUCGAGAUUGAGGAUUGCAACGGAUACCCUUCGGGGCUACCUGUCUGGUCUCUGAUCGUUGCUCUGGUGCCGAAAGCUUGCUUAUGAUGUUAGGGUAUUACGGUCAAAAGGUUAGAACGGAUUAAAUUCGUUAAGGAUGUUGACGUAAUGACUUUAAACGA
rnacentral:rRNA from 1 species